rnacentral:rRNA from 1 species
AGAGUUUGAUCCUGGCUCAGAUCAAACUCAGGCGGCAGGCUCAGCACAUACACAUCCAGCGCUAGCGCAGGAGAGCAUCCUCCUCCGGGUGAUGAGCGGCGGACGGGUGAGUAAUGUCUAGGAAUCUGCCUGAUGGAGGGGGAUAACUUCUGGAAAGGGUAGCUAAUACCGCAUACCUCCUCCAGGCCAAAGAGGGGGAUCUUCGGGCCUCUCGCCAUCAGAUGAGCCCAGAUGGGAUUAGCUAGUAGGUGGGGUAAAGGCUCACCUAGGCGACGAUCCCUAACUGGUCUGAGAGGAUGACCAGCCACACUGGAACUGAGACACGGUCCAGACUCCUACGGGAGGCAGCAGUGGGGAAUAUUGCACAAUGGGCGCAAGCCUGAUCCAGCCAUGCCGCGUGUGUGAAGAAGGCCUUCGGGUUGUAAAGCA